GAUGGUUCACAGCCUUUUUUUUCCUCUUCCUUUUGGAAUGCUACAGAGAUUAGCAUGGCCCCUUCACAAGGAUGGCACACAUUCAUGAAGCACUCUAUAUAUUU